rnacentral:rRNA from 1 species
UACGAAGGGGGCUAGCGUUGCUCGGAAUCACUGGGCGUAAAGGGCGCGUAGGCGGCCGAUUAAGUCGGGGGUGAAAGCCUGUGGCUCAACCACAGAAUUGCCUUCGAUACUGGUUGGCUUGAGUACCGGAAGAGGACAGCGGAACUGCGAGUGUAGAGGUGAAAUUCGUAGAUAUUCGCAAGAACACCAGUGGCGAAGGCGGCUGUCUGGUCCGGUUCUGACGCUGAGGCGCGAAAGCGUGGGGAGCAAACAGG